UACAGAGGUCUCAAGCGUUGUUCGGAUUCAUUGGGCGUAAAGGGUGCGUAGGCGGCGCGGUAAGUCGGGUGUGAAAUCUCGGAGCUUAACUCCGAAACUGCAUUCGAUACUACCGUGCUUGAGGACUGGAGAGGAGACUGGAAUUUACGGUGUAGCGGUGAAAUGCGUAGAUAUCGUAAGGAAGACCAGUGGCGAAGGCGGCAUCCUGGACCGGUAUUGACGCUGAGGCGCGAAAGCUAGGGGAGCAAACGGG
rnacentral:rRNA from 1 species